AUUUAACAGGAUGACUCUGGGCACUGUGUUAACAAGAGACUGAAGGGGACAAGAGUAGAAACGGAUAACCAGUUUGGAGUCUACUGUAGCAAUUCUGGUAACAGAUGAUGACGUCGGCCAGUAACAGCAGAAGUGAAAAUAUGUGGUAGAUUAUGGGUAUAUUGUGAGGGUAAAUCUAUUUGAACUUUUUUAUGGUGUGAGAAGGAAAGAAGAAGCAUGGACGACUCUAAGAAAACUUGAUUUGAUAUGAGCUAAAAGGGGGAAGAAAAGUAAAAAGCAGAUACAGAUAUUUUGCCCUUUUGGAAACUGAAGAUAAAACAGAAAAAGAAAAGAAUUUUAAGAUAUGUUAAUCUAGCAAAACUAACAUAAGAAUGGCCACCGUGAAUUUCAUGAAAUUUUGCCACAGAGCAAUACUAAAAACUGAAUGAUUAUGCCUUUUUCCAUAUUUUAAUUAAAACUGAAAUGAAAAUACUCACUGUUGGAAAGUAAAGAAAUUAAGCCAUA
rnacentral:lncRNA from 1 species